UAUAGGUCAACGUGUGAGUCUUUCCUUUCUUCAGCGAUGUAAGAUUUUAUACGAUUCCAUCAUUAAUCCCCCUUCCAUAAUAACCGUUUCACUUAGAUAUUUCAUAUUUAUGUCUAAUUUCCCUUUGUGAAAUGGAUUGUUCGUUUGUUGUUUCUUGGACUCGAUAAUGGAUUUGAUCUCUCUUUUUGCGCAUACGCCCUUUGACAGGCUGUCAUGUCUUCCCUUCGGGCGAGUAGUUUGAGGUGUGGAUUUCCAAUUUCUUGUUCCGGAAAUCCCUAACUUGAAUAAAGUGAGAAUGACUUUCCUUUAUGUGUCUAGAGUUGCAGUAGCUAGAAUAAAUGAACGGUGAUACCUUAGUAGUCGUUGGACUUAUUUAUGCUUUAUAUUUUAUUAUAACGCUUAAACUUUGAUAUUAUGUAAUAUGUGAAUGCUGUGCGAAAGUCCGAGCGACUGCACUUUAAUAAAAUGCGAUGAACGCAUCUGCAUAGUGAAAUGCAGUUAAGUCCAUAGAGAAA